UACGGGGGGGGCAAGCGUUGUUCGGAAUUACUGGGCGUAAAGGGCUCGUAGGCGGCCAACUCAGUCGGACGUGAAAUCCCUCGGCUUAACCGGGGUACUGCGUCCGAUACUGGAUGGCUUGAGUGUGGGAGAGGGAUGCGGAAUUCCAGGUGUAGCGGUGAAAUGCGUAGAUACCUGGAGGAACACCGGUGGCGAAGGCGGCAUCCUGGACUACUACUGACGCUGAGGAGCGAAAGCCAGGGGAGCAAACGGG
rnacentral:rRNA from 1 species